UCUUAUGAAUGAGCAAAGGAAGUGGUUUCUUGAGAAGGGAUCUACUCCUAGUGAAGAUGCUAUGAA
rnacentral:pre_miRNA from 2 species